rnacentral:rRNA from 1 species
GCCAGCGGUCAUAGCACGUUGAACGGAUGAACGAUGUAUCACUAAAUUUAAGCUACGUUGCGCGUGGUUAGUAUCCGGAUGGAUGACCAUCUGGACAAUCGUUUGCUGCGUGAU